CUGCAUAAACCAAGGGAAAAUAUAACUUCCUAAAAGCUCCAGACCCUUUCUUCUUCUAUUGUCCCCUGAGAUACAAUACUGUAGCCACAGCCUAGUUCGGCUGCUUCAACCACUCCUAAUCGUUCUCCACCGCCACCACGGCAAAUCUGGGCACACUUUGUAACAGAAGUCUUUUUCACUCUUUACUCCUCUUCUUCCUUCUCUAUUUGCUCUAGCCGCCGCCUUCACUCCACUAUGCAGUAAAUCAUUGUCGACGUCCCUCAGGUCAACUGAUAUCACCAGAGUAUAGCUCUCUUCCUCAUCAAUCUAUUUUGCUUCUGUUGGUUUGUAUUUUAUGUAAAUUUUGGUUUGAAUGCAGUAAUGGAUACUUCAAAGAUCGGAGUUCAAAAGCUUGAUUUUGCUAGUGCAAUACUGUAAGUGUAACUUUAUUAUUUUUUUUGUUUGUUAAUUUUCCGCUUUAAAUGUUACCGUUUAAGACGGGCAGGGAAAAGCCCGGCUACCUGUUCUUCUCAGGCUGUCUUUCAACAUCCUCUAUUGAAUCUCAAGUACUAGGCUAUUUUAUCCAAAUGACACAAAAAUAAUAAUAAUUAAUUAUGUUAAUGACUUAAAAGUGAUUUAAAGUGAACACUAAAGUGGGGUUAAGGGUAAUAAAUGGUGACAUUAGAUAAAUUUUUGACACAACCAUCAAGCGGUAAAAAAAUUUAGGGUGUUAAAGACACUUAUGGCCAGCACUCUAUUACUAAAUAAUAAAAAAAACAAUAUUUUUGAGUGUUGCAACAUUAAUUGUCGGCACCUCAAUAUCAAAUUUAAAAAAAAAAUAUUUUUUUGGUUGUUGGGACAAUAAUUUUCGACUUCCCAGUAGUAGAUUUAAAAAAAAAUAUUUUUUUCAGUUGUUAGGAUAUUGAUAGUCGGCACUCUUUCAAUAUAUAGAGUUAUUUUGUCUUUCAUUUAAGCUUUCUUUUUUCUUUAGUUGAAAAUGGAUAUUAAUAAUAUUAGUGUUUUGUUUGUUGAGGAGAAAGUAGAAAUUGUUGAAGAUGAGUUUUGAAAUUUUGUUUAUUUAUAUUUAUCUUGAUUGGGAAAUGAUAAAUACUGGUUUUUUAUAAAAAUAUUAUAAAAAAAUACAAAAUAACCAAAAUUUUAUAACUUUUUUAUUUACCAAAAAAUAUAUAUAUUUANNNNNNNNNNNNNNNNNNNNNNNNNNNNNNNNNNNNNNNNNNNNNNNNNNNNNNNNNNNNNNNNNNNNNNNNNNNNNNNNNNNNNNNNNNNNNNNNNNNNAAAAGGGGGGUCGGUGGUGGGGGGGCAGAAGGAGAGGGAAAGAAAGAAAGGAAGGAGAGGAAAGAAAGAAAAAGAAGGAAAGAAAAGGAAAGGAGAAGAGAAAAAAAGAAAGAAGAGGAAAAGGAAAGGAGAAGAAAAAAGAAAGAAAGAAGGAAAGAAAAGGAAAGGAGAAGAGAAAAAAAGAAGAAGAAGAAGAGGGAAGAAAGGAGAAGAAAAAAGAAAAGAAAGGUAUUUUUUUUAUAAAUUUAAAUUUUUUGUAAUAUUUGUAUGUUUAAAAUUUAUGUUAUGUACGUUAUAGUUAUUUUAUUAUUUUAUUUAGCAUAUACAUUUUAUAAAAUAUAUUUAAAAUAAAAAAAUAAUGGUAUGUACAUUGUAUGCUAGGGUUUUUUAUAAAAAUAUUAUAAAAAAUAAAAAAUAACCAAAAUGUUAUAAAAUUUUUUUUAUUUACCAAAAUAUAUAAAAAAACUUGCAAAAAAAACUGCACCGAUGUGACGACAUCUUGGUCAUGCCAAAGCCAUUGGCGGCAACAAAGGUGCCAAAACCAUUUGCGGCACCAAUGGUGCCAUACUGAUUAGCAGCACUACUCGUAUUAUAAAUACGAGUUCUGUCCAGCUGAAGGGAGAAAAAUCAAAAGAAAAAGAAGAAAAAGAAGAAAAAGAAGAGGUGCUGCGGAAAAGAAGAGAAAAAGAUAGAAAAAGAAGAGAAAAAGAAGGUAUUUUUUUAAAAAUAAUUGAUUAUAUUUUUGUUAUUAUUUUGUAUAUUUUGUAAUAUUUUUUGUUUUAAUUUAGUUAUUAAGAUUAAUAAAACUAAAAAUAAUAGUAUUAGCUAGUAUUAUUAUUAUUAUUGUUGUUGUUGUUAUUAGUAUUAAGAUGUUAUUAAUAUAUUAAGAUGUAACUCAGUAAUAUUAUUGUUAGCAAAAAACUAGUAUUAUUAUUAUUGUUACUUAUUAUUUUUAUUUACCAAAAUAAACUAGUUUGUAAAAAACUAGUAUUAUUAUUAUAGUUAGUUAGUUAGUUAUUAUUUUUAGUAAAAUUAAUAAUUUUAGUAUGUAUUAUUUUGAGUAUAAAAUUAUUAAUAUUAUUAGUGUGUUAGUUAUAAGGAUUAGUGGUUAAACGGUUUUCAUGUACAAAAUUGCAUAUUGAAACAUUAAAUUUUUUUAAGUAAUUUAGUUACCGUUCGAGAAUUUUUAUGAGAUUUUAUUUUUUUACAGAUUAAAUAUUGAAGAUGGAUGCUAAGUUUCUUGUAUGCGUUUAUUUCGAUGGAGUCAUCUUAACAACAAGUGUUGGAUGUGUAUUUAAAUGUCGGCAACAAAUAGCAAUGAGAUUUAAUAGAAAUGUAUCGUUCGAUGAAAUGAAGGCAAGAAUUAAUUCAAAAAUUCAUAGACGUUGUGGGAGAAGGAUAUUAAAAAUUUUCUACAAGUUUCCAGUUUCGAUAAAUCUGGUCAAAUUUGUCGAAAUGGAACUUGAAGACGACGAAGACGUGGGGACAAUGGUUGAUCUCUACUGUGGGAAUAAGAGUGAGAAGAAUGCACCGAUUCACUUAUUUGCUGAGUUAGUCGGUAUGGAGCAAAAUGAAGAUGUUAAUGCAUCUGAUGAAGAAGACGGGGCUGAAGAACCGUGGAUGGUGGCUCCAAUAUCAUACGUUGAUAGUGAAUCAACUAUGGGUGAGAUCGGUAUCGACCUGAAUAUUACACCCGAUGUUGACAUGGUUGGUGGUAAAGAAGAAGGUGCUGUCGAAUAAGAAAGCGGUGGCGAUCAUUGGGAUAAAGAGGUCGAUAGUGACGGUGAUACCGAUGUGGAUAAUGUACCUGAUGAUAUUUACAAUAAAGAUGUUAACAACGAUGAAGACAUUAACGCUUCUUCGGUCGAGGAGCAGAUGCGGCGUAUUUUGAUACACAAUAAUCUUGGGCCAUACAUGUCGCUCAUAGACCCCGACGCAGCAUAUGUAGCUGAGUUUCCGGAGUAUCCUGAAAUAGUUCAUUCUCACGAGCUGGCCGUAACAUCUGAUUAUUAUGAGUUAUUCAUAGGCCAGAGAUUCAGCUGUAAAGAAGAGUGCGUAUAUGCCAUUAAACGGUAUAGCAUGAAUUAUAAAGUCUCCGUGUCUACUCCGAAAAUAUAUGUUAGGGAGUGUUGGAAGGCAGCGGAAGGCUGCAAUUGGCGGGUACGAGCUGCAUUUAUUAGAAGUUCUCAGAUGUGGGAAAUACGAAAAUUUGUUGGUCCUCAUACAUGCACAUCAACAUGUAUGAUAGAAGAUCAUGAAAAAUUUGAUUCGAAAACUAUUUGUACGUGUAUCAUGCCAAUGGUGAAAGACAUGCCGAUAAUUAAAGUUUCGGUAAUCAUUGCAGAAAUGUAAGCAUGAUUCCAGUAUCGAGUCUAAUAUCAGAAGGUAUGGAUAGCUAAACAGAUGGCGAUGGAGCAACUGUAUGGGAAUUACGAUUUGUCGUAUAACGAGCUUUAAGGUUGGAUAGCUGUUAUGCGGGAGUACGUACCGGGGACUGUGAUUGAGUUGCAAACAAGUCCAUAUUACAGCCCGGAUAACCAGUUACAGCCGGUAAAAAGAUUUUCCAUCGGAUGUUCUGGACAUUCGAUCCAUGUGUGCGGGCAUUUCCCCACAGUAAGCCACUUGUGCAGGUGGAUGAGACCUGGCUGUAUGGAAAAUAUACACAGAUCCUACUUCUUGCAGUUGCUCAAGGCGGUAACAGAAACGUGCUCUCGAUAGCAUUUGCUAUCGUAGAUAAAGAGAACAUGGAGUUUUGAGAAUUUUUUCUUACAAAUCUGCGGAGGUAUGUUAUUAGGAACGAUAACAUUUGCAUCAUCUCCGAUAAAGGGAAGGGUUUAAUUACAGUUAUUAGGCGUUCCGGUGUGUCGUGAAGAUCUAUUUACUGCAUUCGUCAUAUUGCGUCUAACUUCCAUAAAGAUUAUAAGAAUGCAGACUGGAAGAGACAAGUCGUGGCAAUGGGUAAAUGAUAACCUUAUCUUUUCAAUAUAAGAUGUAAUGUUUGAUGUUAUCGACUUAUUAGAACUUAUUUUUCGUUAAUACGUAUGCAGCGUACGAGUUAGAGUUACAUAUUUUUCAGCAAAGAAUGAUCCGACUUGAAAGUAACAUGGAGGGGCAGACGAACACAUCUUUCCGACAAUGGUUGCGCACAAUAGAGUCGUGGCAGUUGACUCAAAGUUUUGACGAGAGCUUUCGUUAUGGCCACAUUGCCACAGAAAUAGAAUAGAUGUCAUGAAUAUUAGAAUAGCGUCUUACCCAUUCCCGGGCAUGCAGUUCAAUCCUAAGGCGGUAUAUUGGGACAUCACACGACUUCCCGAUGCCUAGACGGGUCGUCCACCUAAAUAAAACAGUAUAGGGUUUAGGGUUGGUAACAUUACUUAACAUAUUAUUACUACAAAUAAUGACAAUUUAUAUUUUAUCACCUGAGUGAUAGUGGAUACAGAUAGGGUUGUUGACUAACGCGUGCCAAAAACGGCAAUUAAUAAAGCGCCCAGGACUGCAGCAGUAUGAGGCAUCCGCCGAUGUCUUUAAUAUGCGGCUCUGUCGCCCGACAAAGCUCCCGGUACAGUGUUGCUAGAACGAUGGAACCCCAGCUAUACGACCUAGCAGUGGACAAAUAAGCUAGCAGGGGCAAGUACGACAAAUGCACACUGUCGCCGUUUGCAUCAGGCAUGAGUACUGCCCCUAUCAUAUGCAUGAUGUACGCUCGAGCAGCGCACAUCAACUCACCUUCAGUGGCGAUCGCUGAUAAUUGUCCAAUUUUAGCUUUUAGCCAUAUAAAUUUUAUGCCGAAAAAAUAUUUAUCACCGUCCUCUGGUGACUCUCCUAGGAGUUGAUAGCAAAGUGCAGUCGGAUCGGUGAAUGAAUAUACUCCCGUUAUGGGACUCCCGUCAAUUGGGAGCCCAAGCUGCACUGCAACAUCCUCCAAGGUCACCGUGCACUCCACGCACAGAAAAUGAAAAGUGUGGGUCUCCGGACGCCACCGUUCCACUAGCGCAGAUAAUGGCUGUUUUACCAAACUAACCCAAAAAUAAAUUAUGUUUGAAAAAAUAACCCAAGUUUAAAAACAAUCACUAAAAUAACCUAAAAUAAACAGUACCCACUCGUUUUUUGCACCAAUGAUUGUCUAAUAAUUGUGUCAGAAUUUUAAAAAUUAAGUUUUUGGGUUCUGGCCUAUCAGUGGUCGGAACCCAUGUAUUUUUUUAAAAAUUUGUAUAAUACUGAUAUAUGAAAAAUGAGGAAGAAAAAAAAGAAAAAAAUUAUUUUUUGGGUGCUGGCCUGUCAAUGGCCGGCACCCAACAGUAAAAAAAAUUUCUUUUUUUUUGUCAGAAUAAGAUAUAAAUAUACGAAAAAAAUAAAAAAAAAUUUUGGGUGCUGGCCUGUCAAUGGCCGUCACCCAGUACAAUUUUAAAUUUUUUUUUCGUGUCAGAGUCAGAUAUAAAUAUACGAAAAAAAUAAUUUUGGUGCCGGCUUGUCAAUGGUCGGCACCCAGUACAAUUUUAAAUUUUUUUUACUUUUUUUUCGUGUCAGAGUAAGAUAUAAAUAUAACGAAAAAUUAAAAAAAAAUUUUUGGGUGCUGGCCUGUCAAUGGCCUGCACCCAGUACAAAUUAAAAAAAAUUUCUUUUUUUUCGUGUCAGAGUCAGAUAUAAAUAUAUUAAAAAAAUUAAAAAAAAAUUUGGGUGCUGGCCUGUCAAUGGUCCGCACCCAGUACAAUUAAAAUUUUUUUUUCCAUGUCAGAGUCAGAUAUAGAUAUACGAAAAAUAUGCGCUAUUAAUAGAUAGAUUCAGUUCUUAGAGGAUACCUUAAUCGAAGAUGCAAGAAUUAAAGAAAUAAGUUUUAAAUUCUGUCAUAGAAAUUCUGAAAAAAAUUUAUCCUUAAUGUAUCGAAAAAUAUGCGCUAUUAAUCACACAAUUAUUUAGAAAUUGCAAACAUUUAGAUUUUGUUCACAUAUUAAUUGUCUUUUUAUUUUUUUUCUAUUUCCUCCUAUUUACUAUUACAAAAUUAAAAUCCCUCAAGUCCUAUAUAUUUUUUUGUAAAUUUAGAAUUUAGUUUGUAUAUUUUUAUUUCUAAGAAUUUAGUCCUAAUAUUUUAAAUAUUACGAAGUUAUAUAUUCAAACAAAUAAUUAUGUUAGAUUCAUUAAAUAAAUAUUAAAAAAAGAAAAAUAUAAAAAUAAAAGGAAUAUUUACAUAAUAAAUUAUAAGAAAGUACAAAUUAACAUAAAAAAUUAAAAUUGUCGCGAUCCUAGGGACGUGCCCGGCGCUGGCGUGUAACGAUCCGGAUGCCUCCGUCGGCGAUGCCGUGCACCUUGCUGAGGCGUUUGAUAAUUGCUCGGUCCAGAGUCCUGUGUCACUUCCGGUGUAGUUAAAAAGGUGGAAUAAUUAUAUUCACCAUAAUCGGGACUUAAUUGGUAUUGCGUGACCGGAGGUGCCGAUGGAAAAAUAUCCUCAGUGGUGGGUGUACGUGCUUCGGGGUGGAAGUCCGGGUGGUAUGGGGAUGACGAUCCGGAUCAUGUCGGAUGUUGACGGUGGAGGUUGUCACCAAAAAAAUCUUUAAAUGAUGGAGGAACUCCAUGUAAUGGAACCGGAUCUAUGAACUGUGAUGAUGAGUCGGAUGCUUCAUUUUCGGCCCCCAAUUCAGCCCCAAACGGCGGAACUCGGUUACUGCGCGGUUGGGCGUUCCUUGGUUGCCAUCGCGAAGAAUCAGGUCGCGCGUCUCUUUGGAUCAGCAUGUACUGACCCUGGAAUAUGAAGGGUUUCCCAUGUGCCAUAUACCAUGCUGCGUACUCGGGCGUAGGAGAGAACCCUCCCUCUAAGACAUACAAGGGAGGGCGCCUCAAAUGUCGCUGAUUCCACAGAAAGAUAUAUGGUUCAUAUUUCUGUGCCCAAUUUAAAGAGUCCCGAGUCGGUCCCUUUUUAUCCAUUCCGUGGACAUCUGAGAUGUCAACGGGAGGCUUCGGGAUAGGCUGUGCGCAACCGAAUUGCCUCAAAACCCGACCUCCAUCGUGCCACUCCACCAUAUAGAAAUUAAUCAACGGCACAUUAGACACGAACACGUGUUGCUGCUCAACCACCAAUGCUAUUAAUGGAUGCCAUAUACUCAGGAAGAUCUCGCGACACUCAUACCGUCAUGGGUGGUCGAGCAGCAAUACGUGUCCGUGUCUAAUGUGCCGUUGAUUAAUUUUCAUACGGUGGAGUGGCACGAUGGAGGUCGGGUUUUGAGGCAAAUCGAUUGCGCACAGCCUAUCCCGAACCCUCCCGUUGACAUCUCAGAUGUCCACAGAAUGGAUAAAAAGGGACCGACUCGAGACUCUUUAAAUUGGGCACAGAAACAUGAACCAUAUAUCUUUCUGUGGAGUCAGCGACAUUUGAGGCGCCCUCCUUUGUAUGUCUUAGAGGGAGAGUUCUCUCCUACGCCCGAGUACGCAGCAUGGUAUAUUGCACAUGGGAAACCCUUCAUAUUCCGGGGUCAGUACAUGCUGAUCCAAAGAGACGCGCGACCUGAUUCUUCGUGAUGGCAACCAAGGAACGCCCAACCGCGUAGUAACCAAGUUCCGCCAUUCGGGGCUGAAUUAGGGGCCGAAAAUGAAGUAUCCAACUCAUCAUCACAGUUCAUAGAUCCGAAUCAACUGCAUGGAGUUCCUCUAUCAUUUGAAGAUUUUUUUGGUGACAACCUCCACCGUCAACAUCCGACACGAUCCGGAUUGUCAUCCUCAUACCACCCGGACUUCCACCCCGAAGCACGUACACCCACCACUGAGGAUAUUUUUCCAUCGGCACCUCCGGUCACACAAUACUAAUUAAGUCCCGAUUAUGGUGAAUAUAAUUAUUCCACCUUUUUAACUACACCGGAAGUGACACAAGACUCUGGACCGAGCAAUUAUCAAAUGCCUCAGCAAAGUGCACGGCAUCGCCGACGGAGGCAUCUGGAUCGUUACACGCCAGCGCCGGGCACGUCCCCAGGAUCGCGACAAUUUUAAUUUUUUAUGUUAAUUUGUACUUUCUUAUAAUUUAUUAUGUAAAUAUUCCUUUUAUUUUUAUAUUUUUCUUUUUUUAAUAUUUAUUUAAUGAAUCUAACAUAAUUAUUUGUUUGAAUAUAGACUUCGUAAUAUUUAAAAAUUUUAGGACUAAAUUCUUAGAAAUAAAAAUAUACAAACUAAAUUCUAAAUUUACAAAAAAAUAUAUAGGACUUGGGGGAUUUUAAUUUUGUAAUAGUAAAUAGGAGGAAAUAGAAAAAAAAUAAAAAGACAAUUAAUAUGUGAACAAAAUCUAAAUGUUUGCAAUUUCUAGAUAAUUGUGUGAUUAAUAGGACAUAUUUUUCGAUACAUUAAGGAUAAAUUUUUUUCAGAAUUUCUAUGACAGAAUUUAAAACUUAUUUCUUUAAUUCUUACAUCUUCGAUUAAGGUCCACUUAGUGUAUCCUCUAAGAAUUGAAUCUAUCUAUUAACAGCGCAUAUUUUUAGUAUAUUUAUAUCUGACUCUGACACGAAAUUUUUUUUUAAAUUGUACUGGGUGCCGGCCAUUGACAGGCCAGCACCCAAAAUUUUUUUUUAAGUUUUUUUCGUAUAUUUAUAUCUGAUUCUGACACGAAAAAAAGAUUUUUUUAAUUUGUACUGGGUGCUGAUUUUUUUUUAUUUUUUCGUAUAUUUAUAUCUGACUCUGACACGAAAAAAAAAGUAAAUUUUUUUUAAAUUGUACUGGGUGCCACCCAUUGACAGGCCGGCACCCAAAAUUUUUUUUAUUUUUUCGUAUAUUUAUAUCUGACUCUGACACGAAAAAAAAGAAUUUUUUUUAAAUUGUACUGGGUGCCGGCAAUUGACAGGCUAGUACCCAAAUUUUUUUUUAUUUUUUUCGUAUAUUUAUAUCUUAUUCUGACAAAAAAAAAGGAAAUUUUUUUUACUGUUGGGUGCCGGCCAUUGACAGGCCAGCAACCAAAAAAUAUUUUUUUUUUCUUUUUUUUCUCCUUUUUCGUAUAUCAGUAUUAUACAAAUUUUAAAAAAUACAUGAGUUCCGGCCACUGACAGGCCAGAACCCAAAAAAUUAAUUUUUAAAAUUCUGACACAAUUAUUAGACAAUCAUUGGUGCAAAAAACGAGUGAGUACUGUUCAUUUUAGGUUAUUUUGGUGAUUGUUUUUGAACUUGGUUUAUUUUUGCAAAUAUAAUUUAUUUUUGGGUUAGUUUGGUAAAACAGCCGCAGAUAAUAAAUCAAAGCGCAAGUCGGAGGACCGGAUCAAUGCUAUUGACCCAAAUCCGACUAGCUCCAGGUACGGCAUCAAUCGUGCAUCCGGAGCUAUCUUUAAAACACUCACACGGCCACUUAAUACUCGGAACGAGUCCUGAUAGUGUUAAAUUACAGAAAAAAUAUUACGAUAACAUAAUUUAUUUGUAUAUACUGUGUGUAUCUUUUUUAAAUAAAUAGAACUCCUGAUUAACAAAUAAUAAAUCAUACCACGUUAUUAGCCGCAUCAGAUAUGUGUCUAAUAUCGCUUCGAAUCAAUCGAGGCAUUGCGAUGCCUGCAAGUUGAAAAGAAAGUUAGUAAAAAAAUCUUACAUCGGCCAUUUAUUUGUAUUUUUUUCUCCGCAUUUUAUUCCUUUAAAAAAUAUCAUAAUUUCUAAUUUUAUAAUUUUACAUUAUUUCAGUGCAUAAUGUUUAAAAUUUAUUAAUAUAGUUUGUUAUUUAAAUUAAUUUGGUGUAAAAAAAUAACCCUUACCCCUGCCCUUUGCUCGUAUUAUUUUCUCGAUUUUUAUUACUUUAAAUAAAAAUAUAUUAUUCUCCUAUUUUAUUAUUUUAUAUUAUUUCAGUACAUUUUCUUUGAAAUAUUUUGUAUUAUUUAUUUCUGAAUUUUAAAAAAGUUAGUAAUACACUUUUACUUUUGCCAUUUGUUCGUAUUUUUUUCUCCGCAUUUUAUUACUUUAAAAAAUAUCAUAAACUUAGUCUUUUAUAAUUUUACAUUACCUUUUAAUCCCUCCUUAUUUAUUAUUUUCUUUUAUUCCCCCUUAACACACUAAAUUAAUAAAUUUCUAAUAUUAUGCACUGAAAUAAUGUAAAAUUAUAAAAUUAGAAAUUAUGAUAUUUUUUAAAGGAAUAAAAUGCGGAGAAAAAAAUACGAAUAAAUGGCCGAAGUAAGAUUUUUUUACUAACUUUUUUUUCAACUUGCAGGCAUCGCAAUGGCUCGAUUGAUUCGAAGCGAUAUUAGACACAUAUCUGAUGCGGCUAAUAACGCGGUAUGAUUUAUUAUUUGUUAAUCAGUUCUAUUUAUUUAAAAAAGAUAUAUGCAGUAUAUACAAAUAAAUUAUGUUAUCGUAAUAUUUUUUCUGUAAUUUAAUACUAUCAGGACUCGUUCCGAGUAUUAAGGGGCCGUGUGAGUGUUUUAAAGAUAGCUCCGGAUGCACGAUUGAUGCCGUACCUGGAGCUAGCCGGAUUUGGGUCAGUAGCAUUGAUCCGGUCCUCCGACUUGUACUUUAAUUUAUUAUCGGCGCUAGUGGAGCGGUGGCGUCCGGAGACCCACACUUUCCAUUUUCCGUGCGGAGAGUGCACGGUGACCUUGGAGGAUGUUGCAGUGUAGCUUGGGCUCCCAAUUGACGGGAGUCCCGUAACGGGAGUAUCUUCAUUCACCGAUCCGGCUGCACUUUGCUAUCAACUCCUAGGAGAGUCACCAGAGGACGGUGAUAAAUAUUUUUCCGGCAUAAAAUUUACAUGGCUAAAAGCCAAAAUUGGACAAUUAUCAGCGACCGCCACUGAAGGUGAGUUGAUGUGCGCCGCUCGAGCGUACAUCAUGCAUAUGAUAGGGGCAGUACUCAUGCCUGAUGCAAACGGCGACAGUGUGCAUUUGUGUACUUGCCCCUGCUGGCUGAUUUGUCCACUGCUAGGUCGUAUAGCUGGGGUUUCGCCGUUCUAGCAACGUUGUACUGGGAGCUUUUUCGGGCGACAAAGCCGCAUGUUAAAGACAUCGGCGGAUGCCUCAUAUUGCUGCAGUCCUGGGCGCUUUAUCGGAUGUCGUUUUUGGCACGCGUUAGUCACCAACCCUAUCUGUAUCCACUGCCACUCAGGUGAUAAAAUAUAAAUUGUCAUUAUUUGUAGUCAUAAUAUGUUGAGUAAUGUUACCAACCCUAAACCCUAUACUAUUUUAUUUAGGUGGACGACCCGUCUAGGCAUCGGGAAGUCGUGUGAUGUCCCGAUAUACCGCAUUAGGAUUGAAUAGCAUGCCCAGGAAGGGGUAAGAUGCUAUUCUAAUAUUCAUGACAUCUAUUUUAUUUCUAUGGUCAUGUGGCCAUAACGAAAGCCCUCGUCAAAACUUUGAGCCCACUGCUACGGCUCCAUUGUGCGCAACCAUUGUCAGAAAGAUGUGUUCGUCAGCCCUUCCAUGUCACUCUCAAGUCGGAUCAUUCUUUGCUGGAAAAUAUGUGGCUCUAACUCGUACGCUGCAUACGUAUUAACGAAAAAUAAGUUCUAGUAAGUCGAUAACAUCAAACAUUAUAACUUAUAUUGAAAAGAUAAGGUUAUCAUUUACCCAUUGCCACGACUUGUCUCUUCCAGUCUGCAUUCUUAUAAUCUUUAUGGAAGUUAGACGUAAUGUGACGAAUGCAGUAAACGGAUCUCCAUGGCACACCGGAACGCCUAAUAGCUGCAAUUAAACCAUUCCCUCUAUCGGAGAUGAUGCAAAUGUUAUCGUUCCUAAUAACAUACCUCCGCAGAUUUGUGAGAAAGAAUUCCCAAGACUCCAUGUUCUCUUUAUCUACGAUAGCAAAUGCUAUCGGGAGCACGUUUCUGUUACCGUCUUGAGCAACUGCAAGAAGUAGGAUCUGUGUAUAUUUUCCAUACAGCCAGGUUCCAUCCACCUGCACAAGUGGCUUGCAGUGGGGAAAUGCCCUCACACAUGGAUCGAACGUCUAGAAUAUUCGAUGGAAAAUCCUUUUUACUGGCUGUAACUGGUCAUCCGGGCUGUAAUAUGGACUUGUCUGCAACUCAAUCACAGUCCCCGGUACGUACUCUCGCAUAGCAGCUAUACAACCUUGAAGCUCGUUAUACGACGAAUCGUAAUCCCUAUACAGUUGCUCCAUCGCCAUCUGUUUAGCUAACCAUGCCUUCCGAUAUGAGACUCGAUACUGGAAUCGUGCUUGCAUUUCGCAAUGAGUACCGAAACUUUAAUGGUCGGCAUGUCCUUCACCAUUGGCAUGAUACACGUACAAAUAGUUUUCGAAUCAAGUUUUUCAUGAUCUUCUGUCAUACAUGUUGAUGUGCAUGUAUGAGGACCAACAAAUUUUCGUAUUUCCCACAUCUGAGAACUUCUAAUGAAUGCAGCUCGUACCCGCCAAUUGCAGCCUUCCGCUACCUUCCAACACUCCCCAACAUAUAUUGUCGGAGUGGACACGGAGACUUUAUAAUUCAUCGAUAUCUUCAUGCUGUACCGUUUAAUGGCAUAUACGCACUCUUCUUUACAGCUGAAUCUCUGGCCUAUGAAUAACUCAUCAUCAUUAGAUGUUACGGCCAGCCCGUGAGAAUGAACUAUUUCAGGGUACUCUGGUAACUCAGCUACAUACGCUGUGUCGGGGUCUAUGAGCGACAUGUGUGGCCCAGGAUUACUGUGUAUCAAAAUACGCCGCAUCUGCUCCCCGACCGAAGAAGCAUUAAUGCCUUCAUCGUUGUUGACAUCUUCAUUGUCAAUAUCAUCAGGUACAUCGUCCACAUCGGGAUCACCGUCAUUAUCGACCUUUUCAUCCCAAUGAUCGCCACCACCUUCUUCUUCGCCACCACCUUCUUCACCACCAACCAUGUCAACAUCGGGUGUAAUAUUCAGGUCGAUACCGAUCCCACCCAUAGUUGAUUCACUAUCAACGUAUGAUAUUGGAGCCACCAUCCACGGUUCUUUAGCCCCGUCAUCUUCAUCAGAUGCAUUAACUUCUUCAUUUUGCUCCAUACCGACUAACUCAGCAAAUAAGUGAAUCGGUGCAUUCUUCUCACUCCCAUUCCCAUAGUAGAGAUCGACCAUUGUCUCCACGUCUUCGUCGUCUACAAGUUUUAUUUCGACGAAUUUGACCGGAUUUGUCAAAACUGGAAACUUGUAGAAAAUUUUUGAUAUCCUUCUCCCACAACGUUUAUGAAUUUUUGCAUUAAUCCUUGCCUUCAUUUCAUCGAACGAUACAUUUCUAUUAAAUCUCAUUGCUAUUUGUUGCCGACAUUCAAAUACACAUCCAACACUUGUUGUCAAGAUGACUCCAUCGAAAUAAACGCAUACAAGAAACUUAGCUUCCAUCUUCAAUAUUUAAUCUGUCAAAAAAUAAAAUAAAAUCUCAUAAAAAUUCUCGAACGAUAACUAAAUUACUUAAAAAAAAUUGAAUGUUUUAACAUGCAAUUUUGUACAUGAAAACCUUUUAACCACUAAUCCUUAUAACUAACACACUAAUAAUAUUAAUAAUUUUAUACUCAAAAUAAUACACACUAAAAUUAUUAAUUUUACUAAAAAUAAUAACUAACUAACUAACUAUAAUAAUAAUACUAGUUUUUUACUAACUAGUUUAUUUUGGUAAAUAAAAAUAAUAAGUAACCAUAAUAAUAAUACUAGUUUUUUGCUAACAAUAAUAUUACUAAGUUAGAUCUUAAUUCAUUAAUAACAUCUUAAUACUAACAACAACAACAACAACAACAACAACGACAACAACAACAAUAACAACAACAACAACAAUAAUAAUAAUACUAACUAAUACUAUUAUUUUGAGUUUUAUUAAUCUUAAUAACUAAACUAAAACAAAAAUAUUACAAAAUAUACAAAAUAAUAACAACAAUAUAAUCAAUUAGUUUUAAAAAAUACCUUCUUUUUCUCUUCUUUUCUGCAGCACCUCUUCUUCUUCUUCUUUUUCUUUUGAUUUUUCUCCCUUCAGCUGGACAGAGCUCGUAUUUAUAAUACGAGUAGUGCCGCCAAUCAGUAUGGCACCAUUGGUGCCGCCAAUGGCAUUGGCAACAUUGGUGCCGCCAAUGGCAUUGGCACCAUUGGUGCCGCCAAUGGUUUUGGCACCUUUGGUGCCGCCAAUGGCUUUGGCGUGACCAAGGUGCUGUCACAUCGGUGCAGAUUUUUUUGCAAGUUUUUUUUUGAUAUAUUUUGGUAAAUAAAAAAAAGUUAUAACAUUUUGGUUUCUUUUUUAUUUUUUAUAAUAUUUUUGUAAAAAACCCGAUAAAUACAGUUAAAGAAAGUUGUGUCUUUUAAAAUAAACAAAAACUUGGAAUAAGAUUCAAUAAGCGAGUUUUGUUAGUGGAUUUGAAACAGAAAAUUAGUAUAAAUAUAACUACCUGUUGUGGGAAGCAAAUGUUGAGAUUAUUAUAGAUCCUUUCAGGUUUUCAAAAAUGGAGUUUGAAGAUUAUGAUGAUCUAGAAAUAAUAAUAACAAUUUAUUGCCCCUUAAGGUGGAUAACUCUAGCCUGAUUGAGUUGUUUGCAGAGAUAGUUGAACCAUAAUCUAUUGAAGUUGUAAUUUUAGUAAGUCAAUAUUUUGGAAUUGAUUUUGAUUUUAAAUUUUGGUGAGAAGAUCAAUCGCGUUAUGAAGGGUCACUGUAAACUCUCGAAAAUAAGUUGUAAUUUUAGUAAGUAAAUAUUUUGCAAUUGAUUUUGAUUUUAAAUUUUGGUGAGAAGAUCAAUCGCGUUAUGAAGGGUCACUGUAAACUCUCGAAAAUUCAAAUUAUAAUUGAUGUUUGUAUAAUGUCCUAAUCUCGUAUUCUCAUUUAGAGAUUCAUCUAGAUGUGUUAAUCACCAUAAAAAAUUGUGAUAAAAUAUCCAAUAAUGAAGAGCGUCUCACCAUGGUAGUGAAGAUUUUAAUAAACCUUUACAAUUUAAUACAGGGUGAAAAAAUAGAAAGGUGCCAAUCAUCAACUAUCCAACAUCUAAAAAAUUAAUUUUUAACUACUUGACACAAUCAUAAUAAUUGUGUCAAAAAGUUAUCUGAUGCCGAUCAUUUAUUACCCCCAAGCUAAUUUUAUUGUUCAUUUUAAGUGAUUUAGGUGAUUGUUUUUGAAUUAAGAUAAUUUAUGUAAUAAUUUUUAAUUAUUUGGGUAAAAUAGCAUGGAAUAUAGUAGCUUUUACUAAGUUCAAACCCUAUUUUGCUCUUUUCAAGAAAGAAAAUUUCUUUAACAAAUUUUUUGAACUUAUUAACUAAGAAAUUCUAGUUUAUUGUUUUUAUUUCUGCAAAAAGAGUUAAUCUGUUGCCUAUUUUCGAGUUUUUUUACUAAAAUAUUAUAAAAAAAUUAAAAAUAACCAAAAUAUUUUAUAUAUUUGUUAUUUACCAAAAUAUACAAAAAAAAAAAACAAAAAUCAGAAAAAAAAGCUGCAGUUGAUUUGACAAUACCCUAGAGGAGGGUAUCUGAUAGGCGGCACCAAAGGUGCCAUUCCCAUGGGCAGCACUAGUUGUGUUAUAAACACGAGCUUUGUCCAGCUGAAGCAGAAAAAAAAGAAGAAAAAGAAGAGAAAGAAGAGUUGUUGUAGAAAAAGAGAGAAAUAGAAGAGAAAAAAAGGUAUUUUUUAAAAACAAUUGAUUAUCUUUUUGUUAUUUUUUAUAUAAUUUUUAUUAUUUUUGUUUUAGUUUAGUUAUUAAGAUUAAUAAAACUCAAAUUGAUAGUUUUAGUUAGUAUUAUUAUUAUUAGUUUUUAGGGUUUAGAUGUUAGUUGGUAUUAUUAUUACUAAAAAACUAGUAUUAUUAUUAUGGUUAGUUAUUAUUUUUAUUUACCAAAAUAAACUAGUUAGUAAAAUACUAGUAUUAUUAUUAUGGUUAGUUAUUAUUUUUAGUUAGUAUUAUUUUGAGUAUUAUUCAUAGUCGGAAUAAAUGCCCUUAUCGGAUCUUUCAUGUUGGACAGUUGUUUCGGAUCGGGUCGGAAUUGACCUAAUGAUGUAAAAUUUUUAUAUAUAGUGUUAUAAAAAGUCUAAUUCAUUUGAAAUAAUUUUUAUUAAUUCAGCUUAUGCUUAAAUUGUAUCCAACUUAAGUUAUAAAAUACCAUGUGCGCAUUUGGAAUUAAUAAAAUUAUAUCGAAAAUAGAGGCAUUUAUAAUUAGAUUCACCUUUAAUAUAAUGCAAAAAUAGAAUAAUUAAAUUUAUACAAAAAAGUUCAGAAGUAAGAAAAGAUUAAAUUAGAAAUAUUAAAUUUAUACAAAAAGAAUACAAACUUCGUAAUGUACAAAAAGUGCAUUAAACUCCUAAAAUUGAUGGUUCGAUGGUGUGGUCCUAAGGGUAUACCUAUUCGGAGGUCGACGAUCACGUUCUGGGCGACGACCAACAUCAUCAUUCGGCGCAGGUGGGGGUGUGGCAAACAUAGAGGAAAAUCCUGUGGCUUGUUCGGCACCGACAAACUUGAACCGGAAGGAGUUUGCCACACCCCCACCUGUGCCGAAUGAUGAUAUUGGUCGUCGCCCAGAACGUGAUCGUCGACCUCCGAAUAGGUAUACCCCUAGGACCACACCAUCGAACCAUCAAUUUUUGGGGUUUAAUGCACUUUUUGUACAUUACGAAGUUUGUAUUCUUUUUGUAUAAAUUUAAUAUUUUUAAUUUAAUCUUUUAUUACUUCUGAACUUUUUUGUAUAAAUUUAAUUUUUUUUUUGCAUUAUAUUAAAGGUGAAUCCAAUUAUAAAUGCCUCUAUUUUCGAUAUAAUUUUAAUAAUUCCAAAUUAGCACAUGAUAUUUUAUAACUUAAGUUGGAUACAAUUUAUGCAUUAGCAUAAGCUGAAUAAUAAAAAUUAUUUCAAAUGAAUUAGACUUUUUAUAACACUAUACAUAAAAAUUUUACAUCAUUAGGUCAAUUCCGACCCAAUCCGGAUGACUGUCCAACAUGAAAGAUCUGAAUGAGGGCAUUUAUUCUGACUAUGAAUAAUACUCAAAAUAAUACUAACUAAAAAUAAUAACUAACAAUAAUAAUAAUACUAGUUUUUUACUAACUAGCUUAUUUUGGUAAAUAAAAAUAAUAACUAACCAUAAUAAUAAUACUAGUUUUUUAGUAACAAUAAUACUAAGUAACAUCUAAACCCUAAAAACUAAUAAUAAUACCAACUAAAACUAUCAAUUUGCGUUUUAUUAAUCUUAAUAACUAAACUAAAGCAAAAAAUAAUAAAAAUUAUACAAAAAAAUAACAAGAUAAUCAAUUAUUUUAAAAAAAUACCUUUUUUUCUCUUCCCGUUCUCUCUUUUUCUGCAACAACUCUUCUUUCUCUUCUUUUUCUUCUUUUUUUCUGCUUCAGCUGGACAGAGCUCGUGUUUAUAAUACGACUAGUGCCGCCCAUGGGAAUGGCACCUUUGCUGCCGCCUAUCAGUUAGGCACCUUUGGUGUCGCCAAUCAGAUACCCUCCUCUAGGGUAUUGUCAAAUCGGCUGUAGCUUUUUUUUACUUUUUUAUUUUGGUAAAUAAAAAAAUAUAUAAUAUUUUGGUUAUUUUUAAUUUUUUUUUAUAAUAUUUUAGUAAAAAACCCCUUAUUUUCAUUUUGAUAGGUAAGUGUAAUAAGUUUUUACAGGAAAAAAGUUAUUGAAUUAGUUUCAACUUUAGUUAAUUGAUAAAUAUAUUAUUUUGAAAAAUAAAUUUCAAGGCUCAAAGGUUAGGACUACCUUAAGCAAAAUAUCAUCUAUUUAUCAGGUCUGGUUUAAAUUAUUAUGUACACAAGUUUCAUCAUCAAUCAAAUAUUAUAGUCUAAAUCUUUUAGAAAGAAUUAUUAAUUUUAAUAAAAAUAUUAAUUAAAAUCUUAAAAUUUUAAACAUUACAAUACACAGUUCACGUGUAUUAUAUAUAUUUUAAAUUUUUAUGAAUUUUAUAUAUACUUUUUAAAAUUUUUUCAUAUAUUAGGCGGGCUACGGAGGAAAAGAUAACACUGGCAUAAAAUUUAUAAAGUAUGUACAAAAUCUAAGAAGUUAGUCAAUUACUUACAUGGAAAGCAAAAAAUUUGAAAUAUGUACGCGCAUGCGGGGGUGAUGUGACAAGAAACAGAAUCAAGUGGAAAAGGAGUAAAUUGUAAGGUUAUUUUACCAAAUUGAUCUAAAAAAGUUUAAUACUUAUAAAAAUAAUUCAGGUUUAAAAAUAAUCACCAAAAUAACUUGAAAUAAAUAGUAAAAAAAAAAUUGACCUGUCAAUGGCUGGCAUCACCUGGUAUUUUAGACCUGUGAUUGCCUAUUGAUUGUGUCAGACUUUAAAAAAAUUAAAUUUUUUGGUUUUGAUAAUGGCCGGUACUAGUAUACAAAAAUUUUAAAAAAAAUUUUGGGCGUUGGCUUGUUAAAUGCCAGCACCAGCAGGACGAAAAAAAAAUUUUUUAGUUGCUGGCCUGUCGAUUGCCGGCAUCAGUAUAUAAAAAAAAUUUUGGGUACUGGCCUUCUAUUGGUCAGCACCACCGGUACGAAAAAAUUUUUUUGGUUGGUCGGCACCAGCAGUACGAAAUUUUUUUUAGGUGCUAGCCUUUCAAUGGCCGGUACUAAUGUACGAAAAAAAAUUUUUGGGUGCUGGCCUGUCAAUGGCCGGCACCAGCGUACGAAAAUUUUCUUUUGCUGGCCUGUCAAUGGCCGGCACCAAAUUUAUCAAAUAUAUAUAGGUAUUUUAUCUUCUAUUUUGUUUUGUUUGAAUUUUUUUUCCUUUGUUUAGAAAGUAAAUUUUUUUAAAAAAUGAGUUCCCAAAAGUUGUUUGUUUAUGCUCAUUUCAAUGGAGAAAUGAUAAAUAUAAUUGAAAAAGGUUUUGUAUUUCGAAACCGGAAAAAAAUAGGAAUGAGAUUCAACAAACAGAUUUCGUUGUCGGAUUUGAAAUGAAAAAUCAGUACAAAGAUAGCAACCCGUUGCGGAAAGCAAAUGUUGAGACUGUUUUACAAAUUUUCGGUUUCAACUGAUCCGCUAAAGUUCUGAAAAAUGAAGCUUGAAGAUGAUGAUGAUUUAGGGACAAUGAUAGUAAUUUAUUGCCCAUUUAAGUGGUAAUUCUAGUAAGCCAGCGCUUCGGAAUUGAUUUUGAUCUUAACGUCUUUUGGGAAGAUCAAUCCGGUUUUAGACUGUCAAUGCCAACUCCCUAAAAUCCAAACACCGGUGGAUGUUUGUAUAACACCCUAGACUCGUGUCCUCUUCUAGAGAUCCAUUCAGAGGUGUUGGCCACCAUAGAAGAUAGUAUUGAAGGGUUUGAUAAUGAUGAUCAGUCCCACCGUGAUCCCAACGAUGAUUUUAGUGACCCCGAUUUGGAUGACAUCCUUGAAGACAUAGACGAAGAAGACGAGGAAGGGUCGGUAGAAGGUGAAAAUGCGAACCCCCAUUCGGCCGGAAACACAGGUCUUGGUAUGGUUAUAAGAAAUAAUCCAGGCUCCUUUAUGACCGACGUGGAUCCUGAUGCUGCUCUUGAACGUGAGUUUUCGGAAUAUACAAAUAUUGUGCCAGCUCACCUAAUUGACAAUGAAUUCGACGAAGAAGAGUUGUUUGUAGAACAACAAUUUGAUAAAAAAACUGUUUACAUGCUAUAAAACAAUUGAGCUUGAAGUUAGAUGUGGAUUAUAAAGUAACGAAGUCGACGCAGUCUUUGUAUGCAGGAGAAUGUUGGAAAUCGUUGAGUGGUUGUAAAUGACUUGUCUGAGCCGUGUUAAUGCAGCAGACACAAAUGUGGAUGAUAAUUAAACUAGAAGGUCCACACACAUGCACGUUCGCUCAUAUGUUGCAAGAUAAUUGAAAGUUAGAUACAAAAACUAUAUGUAACUGCAUCAUCCCUUUAGUGAAAGAGUCACCCACCAUUCAAGUGUCAGUCCGUAUUGUGGAUAUGCAAGCUUGAUUAAGUACAAAGUGUCGUACCAAAAGGCAUGGUGGGCAAAGCAAAUGGCGAUGCGAGAGUUGUAUGGUGACUGGGAUGCGUUAUACAACGAGCUUCAAGGGUGGAUUGUAACACCCCUUACCCAUAUUCGACAUCAGAAUAGAGUACGAGGCAUUACCAGAAUACAUGCACUUGUAAACGUAUUGAACCGAGUUAUAAAAUUCCAUUAUUUAUUAAAAAAAUUUAAAUUAUUGACAUGCUUUUAUAAUUCUUCAUAAUAUAAAUAAUACAACAUUUCCUACCAACCGCAAUCGAGCUUCCGAUAAUCGUCUCACUACAUCUAAUAAUUGUACAUAUUACCAAUAUUAAUUCAAUUUCAAUAAUAAAACACAUAUCUAUAUAAUAUUCAUCAUCAAAUAACAUUCACUUUAAUUAAAAUUAUACAGAAUGUAGUUCAUACGAACUUACCAAGCUAAAUUGCAGAAAUACCAAAAUUCGGGGACAUUUUGAAAAAUUUCUAUUUUUCUCGAAUUUCCAUCCAAUUUUAAUCUAAAUUAAUAUUUCCUUCAAUUUACUAAUUUAAACAAUAAAACAAUUCAUUUCAUGCAAUUUGAUCACUUUUUGACAUUUUUACAAAUUUACCCUUAAAUUUUCACAUUUGUUCAAUUUAGUCCCUGAAACAUAUAAAUUGGUCAUUUUUAAUGAAAACUCAUGCUAGUUGAAUAAUCAUAUAUUUUCCUCCUCCUCCUCUCCAUUCCACAUCCUUAAUGUAUAUAACAUGCUUAUAGGUAACAUUAUCUAUAAUUUCACCAAUUACUUAUAUAUUCAUUCAAAGCUGUCCACUUGAGUCAUAAUCACUAAAUUAUUUAUAUCUUGAGCUACAGAACUCAAAAUUAAGAUCCGUUAAUUCUAUCUAAAACUAGACUCACAUAUAUUCUUAUAAUAAAAUUUUCAGAAUUUUUGGUUUAGCCAAUAAGUACAGUUUAUUCUUUAAAGUCAUCCCUGUUCUGCUGUCUGACAGUUCCGACCCUUCUUCACUAAAAAUUAACUAUCUACUCGUACAAAAUUUGAAUGAUGUUACCGUUUAUUUCUAUUAAAAAUAGACUCAGUAAGGAUUUAAAAAUAUAAAUUUAAGCCUCUAAUUAUUUUUCUCCAAUUUUUGAUGAUUUUCCAAAGUCAGUACAGGGGAACCCGAAAUCAUUCUGACCUUAUCUCACAAAACCUAUAAUAUCUCAUAAUUUACAAUUCCAUUGCUUGAACCAUUUAUUCUAUGAGAAACUAGACUCAAUAAUAUUUAAUUUCAUAUUGUGUUCAUCCUCUAAUUCAAUUUAUACGAUUUUUGGUUGAUUUUCAAAGUCAGACUACUGCAGCUGUUUCAAAACUAUUUUAGUGUAAAAUGUUGAUUACUAAGUCUAUAACACUCUUAUUUUCCUUCUCUACACUAUUUCUCAACACUUUCUCUUAUUUUCUCUUCACUAACAUAUCAAGAACAUAUAACCUUAUAUAAUAAAACUCUACAUUAACAUCAAUCUCAUACUUUUUUAAUAAUAUCAAACUCAAAAAUAUAUUGAAAUCAUGAUGUNNNNNNNNNNNNNNNNNNNNNNNNNNNNNNNNNNNNNNNNNNNNNNNNNNNNNNNNNNNNNNNNNNNNNNNNNNNNNNNNNNNNNNNNNNNNNNNNNNNNAUUUUCUCUCUCCUCCAGCCUCUAUUUCUUGAAUCUAACUUGAUAUUCUAGCUCCCUAUAGUCUCCUUGUCAAUUUUCUCUCUUGGUGCCUAUGGAAAUUUCUUUGAUUUCUAAGUGAAAAUGGUGGAUUUUUGGUGAAAGGACCAAAUUGUAAAGAAAAUAAAGCUUUCUUUCUUCUCCUCUUCUUCUCACGUUAAUGCAUGCAAAUAUGGGUGGGAUAGAUGUCUUUCAUCAUUUCUUCCACAUAUAUAUACUAAAUAAAUUAAUAAUAAAAUAAUAUCAUUUAAAAAAAUCAAAUUAAAAUAUUAAUAAACUAANNNNNNNNNNNNNNNNNNNNNNNNNNNNNNNNNNNNNNNNNNNNNNNNNNNNNNNNNNNNNNNNNNNNNNNNNNNNNNNNNNNNNNNNNNNNNNNNNNNNAUGAUCUUUUAAAAUUCUAUCCUUGAGUCAUCACUUAAUUUGGUAAAAUUGUGAUUUAGUCCCUCAAACUUCUUCACCUUUUUCAAUUUGGUCCCAAUCCAUCCAUUUUUCUUAGUUUCUAGAUUACUCCACCCUUAAAAUAUUUACACCAUUGGUCCUUCAACUUUUUCAUAUUUACACUUUAACCCCUCAGCUAUUGAGUAUUUACUCUUGGGUAACAACACUUUUCUCACUUUUGCGAUUUAAUCCUUUCUUGAAUUAAUAUGUUAUAAUAUACUUCUCAAUAUUGCCAUAACUCAAAAUUACCCCUUUUUAGCACUUUAUUUCCUUAUUUUACCAUAUCAGAGAUAUUAUCUUACUUUCCUUAUUAUAGAAAUUUUCGGGGUAUUACAUGGAUAGUUGGGAUGCAUGAAUAUGUGCCAGGGACAGUGGCUGAUUUGCCAACACUGCCGUAUAAAAGCCCUAACGGGGAGAUACAAUCGGGGAAAUGAGUUUUUUACUGAUUGUUUUAGACGUUCGAGCCGUGUGUUAGGGCCUUCCCUCGGUACAAGUCGAUGGUGUAGGUGGACGCGGCAUGGUUGUAUGGAAAGUACACACAAGUCCUCUUGAUUGUUGUUGCACUAGACUACAAUCGAAAUGUACUUCCGAUCGCUUUUGCCAUCGUGGAGCAUGAGUGCUUCGAGUCUUGAGAAUUUUUCCUAACAAAUCUGCAGAGGCACGUUGUCAGAGAAGACAACAUUUGCCUAAUAUCAAGUAGAUUGAAAGGAUUACUUGCUGCGAUAAGGCGAUCAGGGUUUUCGUGGAGGUCUGUUUAUUGCAUCUUGCACAUUGUGGCAAACUUUCAUAUAGAUUAUAAGAAUAAAGAUUCGAAAAAAGAACUCAUGAACAUGGCUAAAAAAUUUUUUUGUAUUUAUUUCAAAAAUUGUUUUUCAAAUUUUUUAUUUUUAAAUUGGUGAUUUCAAAUUAAAUAUGCAGCCCAUGAGUUAGAACCGAGAAGAUUCAGGCAGAGGUUCUCAAGGUUGAAUCUCAGAUGUCAUCUUUACCAACAAAUCUCCGGACAUGGUUGGGCA
rnacentral:lncRNA from 1 species